UACGUAGGGUGCGAGCGUUGUCCGGAAUUAUUGGGCGUAAAGAGCUCGUAGGCGGUGUGUCACGUCGGCCGUGAAAACCUGCAGCUUAACUGUGGGCGUGCGGUCGAUACGGGCAUCACUGGAGUUCGGCAGGGGAGACUGGAAUUCCUGGUGUAGCGGUGAAAUGCGCAGAUAUCAGGAGGAACACCGGUGGCGAAGGCGGGUCUCUGGGCCGAUACUGACGCUGAGGAGCGAAAGCGUGGGGGAGCAAACAGG
rnacentral:rRNA from 1 species